rnacentral:rRNA from 1 species
UACGAAGGGGGCUAGCGUUGCUCGGAAUUACUGGGCGUAAAGCGCACGUAGGCGGCUUUCUAAGUCGGGGGUGAAAUCCUGGAGCUCAACUCCAGAACUGCCUUCGAUACUGGAGAGCUCGAGUCCGGGAGAGGUGAGUGGAACUGCGAGUGUAGAGGUGAAAUUCGUAGAUAUUCGCAAGAACACCCGUGGCGAAGGCGGCUCUCUGGGACGGUACUGACGCUGAGACGCGAAAGCGUGGGGAGCGAACAGG